CGCGCAGAUCCUGCGGGCGGAGGGCGCGGCGGGGCUCUUCUCCGGCGUGUCGGCCACCAUGCUGCGCCAGACGCUCUACUCCACCACCCGGAUGGGGCUCUACGACAUACUGAAGAAGAAGUGGACCCAGGAGAACGGCGGCGUGCUGCCGCUCCACCGCAAGAUCGCCGCUGGGCUCAUCGCCGGCGGGGUCGGCGCCGCCGUGGGG
rnacentral:misc_RNA from 1 species